AUGGCAUCAUCAACUACCACUGUCAAAAUCAUUUCCUUCCUUUUCGUUGUUCUUUUCGCCGCUGUUUCCUCCGCUCAAGAUCUCAGUCCCUCGUCGGCUCCAGCACCAGGUCCCGACGCCGGAGCUGCCGGAUCUGUUACAAAUUCUGUGGCUAUAAUCGGAGCUUCAAUUGUGCUGUCAAUGUUUGCUAUCUUCAAGAACUGA
rnacentral:lncRNA from 1 species